GGUGAGUAACACGUGACUACCUGCCCUUGAGUGGGGGAUAACCUCGGGAAACCGAGGCUAAUACCGCAUAAAAUCGCAAGAUCAAAGGAGCAAUCCGCUUUUGGAGGGGGUCGCGGCUGAUUAGCUAGUUGGUAGGGUAAUGGCCUACCAAGGCAAAGAUCGGUAUCCGGCCUGAGAGGGCGCACGGACACACUGGAACUGAAACACGGUCCAGACUCCUACGGGAGGCAGCAGUGGGGAAUUUUGCGCAAUGGGGGAAACCCUGACGCAGCAACGCCGCGUGGAGGAUGAAGGCCCUUGGGUCGUAAACUCCUUUCGACCGGGAAGAUUAUGACGGUACCGGUGGAAGAAGCACCGGCUAACUCUGUGCCAGCAGCCGCGGUAAUACAGAGGGUGCGAGCGUUGUUCGGAAUUAUUGGGCGUAAAGGGCGCGUA
rnacentral:rRNA from 1 species